AGAGUUUGAUCCUGGCUCAGGAUGAACGCUAGCGACAGGCUUAACACAUGCAAGUCGAGGGGCAGCACAGGUAGCAAUACCGGGUGGCGACCGGCGCACGGGUGAGUAACGCGUAUGCAACUUGCCUAUCAGAGGGGGAUAACCCGGCGAAAGUCGGACUAAUACCGCAUGAAGCAGGGAUCCCGCAUGGGAAUAUUUGCUAAAGAUUCAUCGCUGAUAGAUAGGCAUGCGUUCCAUUAGGCAGUUGGCGGGGUAACGGCCCACCAAACCGACGAUGGAUAGGGGUUCUGAGAGGAAGGUCCCCCACAUUGGUACUGAGACACGGACCAAACUCCUACGGGAGGCAGCAGUGAGGAAUAUUGGUCAAUGGCCGAGAGGCUGAACCAGCCAAGUCGCGUGAGGGAUGAAGGUUCUAUGGAUCGUAAACCUCUUUUAUAAGGGAAUAAAGUGCGGGACGUGUCCCGUUUUGUAUGUACCUUAUGAAUAAGGAUCGGCUAACUCCGUGCCAGCAGCCGCGGUAAUACGGAGGAUCCGAGCGUUAUCCGGAUUUAUUGGGUUUAAAGGGUGCGUAGGCGGCCUUUUAAGUCAGCGGUGAAAGUCUGUGGCUCAACCAUAGAAUUGCCGUUGAAACUGGGGGGCUUGAGUAUGUUUGAGGCAGGCGGAAUGCGUGGUGUAGCGGUGAAAUGCAUAGAUAUCACGCAGAACCCCGAUUGCGAAGGCAGCCUGCCAAGCCAUUACUGACGCUGAUGCACGAAAGCGUGGGGAUCAAACAGGAUUAGAUACCCUGGUAGUCCACGCAGUAAACGAUGAUCACUAGCUGUUUGCGAUACAUUGUAAGCGGCACAGCGAAAGCGUUAAGUGAUCCACCUGGGGAGUACGCCGGCAACGGUGAAACUCAAAGGAAUUGACGGGGGCCCGCACAAGCGGAGGAACAUGUG
rnacentral:rRNA from 1 species